UACGUAGGUGGCAAGCGUUGUCCGGAUUUAUUGGGCGUAAAGCGAACGCAGGCGGGAAGAUAAGUCAGCUGUGAAAGCCCCCAGCUUAACUGGGGAACUGCAGCUGAAACUAUGUUUCUUGAGUGCAGAAGAGGAGAGUGGAACUCCAUGUGUAGCGGUGGAAUGCGUAGAUAUAUGGAAGAACACCAGUGGCGAAGGCGGCUCUCUGGUCUGUAACUGACGCUGAGGUUCGAAAGCAUGGGUAGCGAACAGG
rnacentral:rRNA from 2 species